AGGGGGGGGGGAAACGGGGGGUGUUGGUUUAUUUAUGGCGCUUUGUUCUGCGGCGCUGCUGUUGGGGAUGCGGUGGUGCAGGGAGAGACUUCAGCUUGGAGGGGAGGGUUUGGGGGUGGGGAUGUCCGAAAUGCUGGGGGUGAGCGGCUCCUGGGGGGGGUUCCACGUGGGAUAACAGCAAAAGCAAAGGGCCGGGCCGGGCUGGGCCAGCAGUGAGGCCAAAACGCACCGCUGUGCGCCCCGAAAUCCGCUGCUGGGUGUGCAAAGCGUUGGCGGUGCGUCUUUGCAGAGGGGCAGCUCCCACCACGGCCGUCCAAUUCCGCCUCUUUGGCAGUGGAUUCCCCGGGGUGCACUGCAUCUGUGCGCAGCCACGCCGUGUGUGCGUUGCACAGAGACACCGGCCCUUGGCGUGCUGCUGUGUGUGCAAGGGCGGGCGGUGACGUGCAAUGGUCUGCAAGGACGUGCAAAGGUGUGCAAGGGUGUGUGAUUUGCAAGGAGGUGAGAAGGUAUGCAAGGAUGUGUGAGGGCAGACAACGGUGUGCAGUGGUGUGCAAAGGUGAGCAGGGGUUUGCAAGGAUGUGCAAAGGUGUGCAAGGAUGUGCAAAGGUGUGCAAGGGUGUGUGAUUUGCAAGGAGGUGCAAAGGUGUGCAAGGAUGUGUGAGGGCAGACAAUGGUGUGCAAUGGUGUGCAAAGGAGAGUAGGGGUUUGCAAGGAUGUGCAAAGGUGUGCAAGGAUGGGUGAGGGCAGACAGCAGUGUGUAAUGGUGUGCAAAGGUGAGUAAGGAUAUGGGAUGCAGGAUAUGGGAUGUCGGAUAUGGAGUUCAGGAUAUGGGAUGCAGGAUAUGGGAUGCAGAAUGCAGGAUAU
ensembl:lncRNA